CAUCCUACGGGGCGCAGCAGUGGGGAAUAUUGCACAAUGGGGGAAACCCUGAUGCAGCGACGCCGCGUGAGCGAUGAAGUAUUUCGGUAUGUAAAGCUCUAUCAGCAGGGAAGAAAAUGACGGUACCUGACUAAGAAGCCCCGGCUAACUACGUGCCAGCAGCCGCGGUAAUACGUAGGGGGCAAGCGUUAUCCGGAUUUAUUGGGUUUAAAGGGUGCGCAGGCGGCCUGUUAAGUCAGCGGUAAAAGCCCGGGGCUCAACCCCGGCGAGCCGUUGAAACUGGCGGGCUGGAGUUGGAGAGAAGG
rnacentral:rRNA from 1 species